rnacentral:rRNA from 1 species
GACCAGACUCCUACGGGAGGCAGCAGUGGGGGAUAUUGCACAAUGGGGGAAACCCUGAUGCAGCGACGCCGCGUGAGUGAAGAAGUAAUUCGUUACGUAAAGCUCUAUCAGCAGGGAAGAAAAUGACGGUACCUGACUAAGAAGCCCCGGCUAACUACGUGCCAGCAGCCGCGGUAAUACGUAGGGGGCAAGCGUUAUCCGGAUUUACUGGGUGUAAAGGGAGCGUAGACGGCAGUGCAAGUCCGGAGUGAAAGCCCGGGGCUCAACCCUGGGACUGCUCUGGAAACUGUAAAGCUGGAGUGCAGGAGGGGCAGGCGGAAUUCCUGGUGUAGCGGUGAAAUGCGUAGAUAUCAGGAGGAACACCGGCGGCGAAGGCGGCCUGCUGGACCGUAACUGACGUUGAGGCUCGAAAGCGUGGGGAGCAAACAGGAUUAGAUACCCUAGUA